rnacentral:lncRNA from 1 species
GCAUGAGCAUCCUGUCAUAUUUGAGACCAUCUGUUGGCAUCUGUCUGUCUCAUGAUAUGAGGGAAGAGUACGCAUUCAGGGAUGAAAUCAAACCAUUGGACAGUUACAGCCCCUGCUUUGGCUGUAGAGACCAACAUGGGAGGAGACAUGUUUCCUGCUCAUGGAUUUUCCCUGUAACUCAAGGAUGUUACCUUUGGAUAUUUUUCAGGAAGUAGUACUUCUCUGGGGGCAGUGCCAGCCCACACAUGAGGCAAGGUAAGGUUACUGCCUCAGGCAGCAGGAUCCACAGGGGCAACAGAUACGACCUUCAAGGAAUGCAUUGCCUGCCUGCCUGCUGCUGCCGCUGCUGUGGUAGCAUCCAUGGCCCCGGUGAGCUCCUUAGAGGCUGGAUCUGCCCCCUCCUCAGCAGUGCCCCCUCCAGUGCUGCCUCUGCAGCAGCCUCUUGGCGAAUAGGAGGUGCUGCUGGUGGUCUCCCACCCUUGUUCCCAACAUAGAUCUUUAUUUACCCCUUGUUCUGCUGUAGAUCUUUUCUCACUCCUUCUUCCCUGGUAGGGGCAUGGACACCAUUUUGUGGUUUGUGUCAGAUGCCAGAUGUCUUGAGCCAGCCCUGUCUGGGGUUAUUCUUCCAUGAGAAGGAUGGAAUAUGGACCUGAUUUCAUGUAGCUGGUAGUGCUCUGCAGAUAUACAUUGCUUCAGUGACUUUCAGAAAAGCAAUAAGCUUGAUAAACAAAAGGAAAAUAAAUUAUAGCCCCCAAAAUAUCUUAACCUGCAGUGACAUAUUUCUAAUAUGGGAUUCAAGUGAAGUGUGUUGCUGCCAAAGAAAGCUGCAGCCCUGUGCACACUUAAACCAGUGAAUAAGCUCUAUUGAACGUAGUGGGACUUACUUCUGAACAAAAAUAUGUACUAUUGCUUUUUGUCUUCCACUAAUGCCCAUAGCUAAUGGUAGCAAUGAUUUUAGCAAACAUCAUUCAAAGUCCUUCGAGAUUCUGAAUCUUCUGAAACUCAUACAUAGAAAGCAGGUAUAUGUCUAUAUGAUGAUGCCACAUUGAAGAUCCCGCUACUAUACUUAUUUAUAGAUUUAUAUAGGUUUAUAUAUUUCUGUUUACAGACAAAUCUGUAGGUUGCUGACUUCUGUGUAUGAUGUUGACCAGGUAAAAUCUCUGGGGAGAUGAGGGUGUUCUAUUUGACUUCAAACAUUUUCUUCAUAGUGUAUUUGCAUUUCAUAAUUGGAGGUGGUGGGAAGGGGCAUCCAACUGACUCUGCAGAUUAUUUAUUCAUCCAUAUGUGCUAAUCUCCUUGAUUCUGCUGCAUAUACAUUUUGCAUCUGCCAACACAACCUUAACAUGUUCUGGUCAAUUAAAUUUGUCCUUUCCUUUAAUAAAAUAUUUGUCCUUUAAUACAGCUCAUUGGUCUUGAUUUCUUUGACUCAUGUUAAGUCUUCAGAAUGAAGGUGCUAUAUGACCAAGCUAUUCAAUUACAAAGGCAUUGUGUAGAUACACUUUAUGAAGCCAGCAAAUUUCAGAGUCCAAACGGUGUGAGGACUUCCAUUCAACACAAUAGUAUUGACUAAGGGAAAGAGUGAAAGUAUAUGUUCUGUGGUGAGAAUAAUAAAAAAAUAGUCUUUACUAAGUACAUAGGUAUAAGUGGAAGUACAGGUCAAGGUUGAAAGUGGGUAUUUUAGUUAUCAUGAAUAAUUUGGGCUGGAUUUGCACUCAUUAAUUCUAAUGCUGACUGCAUACAUUAAAAGCCCAUCACUGAAAACUAGAAAUAUUUCACAGAGCUCCAAUAAAUUUUUUUAGGCUGAAUAUGACAAUUACAUUAUUUAAAGCCAAAUUAAAAAUCCACAAUAGCUGAACUCAGUCUUUUGUAGCUAUAAUCUCAGAAAAGAAGCUAAGGAUAGGCUAAAAUUUGAUGAAACACUUGUGUUUUUAGAUUUAGAGAUGACCUUUAGACUGAAAAUGUGACACUGCCCCCAAACCCAUCCUGGGGAAACAAUAAAGAAACAUAAAUGGAUUUCAACUGGGACAGGAUUUAGGUUACUGUUUCCUGAGAUAGUCCUUGCAGAAAGAAAUCCAGUAAGAUAAUACAUUUUCUGGAAGCAUUUCCUCCUAUUUUGAUUGUAUAAGCUGAAGCUCUUUAUCUAUACUUGCACAUCAUGUACUUACUUCAAAAUGUUUCUUUAUUGCUGUUCCACCUCAUGACUCAUCUUCACCUUUGAUGCCCCAUUCAUAGUAUUUCAUUGUGACAUUUAUAGGAAGAACCUUUUGGACCCUGCCUAUGUUAUUGGGUGGAGGAAAGGAAUUACAGAUGCUGAUCAUGAUUAAAAUCAAUAAUGGAAGUUAAAUGCCAUGUGACAGGACUCAAAAUAUGCUACUUGCUGAAGAAAGCAAGGUGUUCAAUAGAAUUAUGUGAUAUUCUGAUGGUCUGUGCUUUACAAUAGAUUUUACUGCAAUGCUAAAUCAAUGGGCUUGUGUUUUAAUACUUUGCAGCAACUUUGUUGAUCUACAGCUGGGCAAAAUGUGUUAGCAGAGCCUCAUUGAAGCGGAAGAACAACUGUGCAUCUGGAACAGAAAAGUUUGGAAAGCUAAAGCAAGUGCCAGUCGCUUAAUGUAAAUUCUUACAGAAAAAUCCUAAUCUAAAAGUAAGGUGCGGUUGCUGCUUUUGUGCAGUUUUGUGACCACUUCCAUAACUUUUGCACAAUGUUAGUGGGACACACAGAGAAAUUAAAUAUCCCUGACUGGACCUCCCAACAUAUUUUUCUUUGUUUAAAACCAAUCAAGCAUCCUCUCUGUUUCAGUUGGCGCUGCAUUGCUGGGUGGGGAAGUUAACCCUCCAUUUCUGUAAUUUAGCUAAUUUCCUGCCAAGGCAGUUGUUAGCCAUGGAGGCAGGAGCUGGGGAAAGACAGAUAAAAUAUGGACUUCAGGGACUGGGAAGAAUUAAAUUGGGUUGACAAAUGCUGCCCCAAAUCUACAGACCUGAUCUGAAUCAUACUCCUUCCUCCAGUGAUGGUUUCUAAGCAAAGACACUUCACAUCUAGUCUGGCCCUUUUUCAACUAGUUUUUACUACAUUUGGGAUCAAAUAUAUUUAUUGAGUGUGAAGACUGCACUCUCUGAAAACACUGUCCACUGUUAAGAUUAAAAAAAACUAUCUGUCAUUUUCAGUUGUUUGAGAAAAGUCAGACUACUUGCUCUGUUGGAUGAAGUUUGUUUUCAUUUCACAUUUAAAUCUAUUAUCAUGGCUUUAAAAAUCUCAACAGCAAAGUUAUCAUGAGCUUUCUAGAAAUGAAAGGGUGAUAAAUAAAUAUAUUUUAACGUGUACAAAAGUUCCUUAAACAGCAACGAUUGGCAAAAUAGUGGAGGAACAAUUUUGCUGAAAGCACUUGAUUUUGCAAAUGUCAUUUAAACAUUUGAGUCUCAUCAAUGUGCAACACUGCAAUAUAAUUCAGUCCAUUGAGUACAGUCCUGAUUAUAUGACAUUCAGGAGUGCAUGAGAUUCUGCUCAUAAGCACAGGAUGCAAAAUUAUUUAUCAUAAUAUAGCAAAGCAUGCAUGAAUAAACCACCCAUUCAGAGCCUAUUUGUCUUUCUUUUGGCAUUGGCUGCUUUGUAUUGUUCCAAUAGUGCAAAGAAGACAGCCAUCUUAACAGGCUGUCUGCUAAUUGCUCUUGCACAAGGAGACUCAUUAGCUGGCCCAAGAGUCCAUAGAGUCAGCUUCAUUUAGAGGGCACAAUUCAUUGGAAUAAGCAAAUACAGUUCAAGUUAAUGAAGGUGUACUUCAUUGGAUGUAAUGAAUGUAUUGCUGUUGCUGUAAUAUGGUGACUUUGAAUGGGAGGAGACAUACACAGUAAUUGAAAUAAAAACUUCCCAGAAGUUUUCUGUAACUAAUUCCCUCUUUUUAUCACGUCCUCAGUCUUCUUUAUGAGAUAAUUGGAGUUACAUUUCUAUAAUUUACUUUUCCUCAACACUUUCUCAUUAUUUCUGGCAAUUAGUUGAGACACCUAGAAGUUGUCCCAUAGCAGAUAAAAAUCAAUUUAUUUAAUAAGAUGGCACUACAUUUUUCAGAAGAAACUUUGUUCAGACUUUUCUAGUAAGCAGGCUGAUGAGAGUUGAAAAUGGGUGGCCCUUUGGAAUACCACAUUAGGACCUGGGCUGUGUGUUUUGUACUCCAGACUGGUGAUUGUGGUGAUAUAUGAAUAUAGUUUGUAUAACUAUUUCUCAAGGGCUAAGGCAGUUCUAGGUACUCUUGCUUCAAUUGGAGCUGUUAAUCAGAAACAAUUAGUAUUUGGCAGCAAGAAAAGUCUUGCUUCCAACAAGUGAUAAGAAAGUUCAAAAUGGCAGCCCCUUUACAUGGCCAGCCUGCACAUGAGGUGGACUGAAGCAGCGACUUUGGCUGGCAGAAUCCCAUGGGUUUCUCAAAAACAAGUUGUGCUAGACAAAUCUUAUAUCUUUUUAUGAUGGAGUUACAAGCUUGGUGGAUCAGAGGAAUGCUGUGGACAUAGGGUAUCUUGAUUUCAGUAAGGCUAUUGACAAGCUCUCCCAUGGUAUUGUUGCAGAGAAGUUUGUAAAAUGUGGACUAGACAAGGUAACUGUUGGGUGGAUUUGUAGCUGGUUGACUGACUGAACCCAAAGGGUGCUCACUAAUGGUUUCUC